CCCUACCCACACCCACUUCUCACCGUCACUCACUCACCCUCACCCCUCACUCACAGAAACCUCAACAAGAAAAGAAAAGGGGGGAAACAGAAAAGGGAAAUGAGAGGGAAGAGAAGAGGGAGACCGUGAGAGAGGGAGAACGCCAGGGGAGGAGGAGCUGUCGCGCCACCACCGUCGUCUCACCUGCGGCAUCACCACCAUCCAUCACGCCGCCACCACACUGCGUCGCCGCCGAAAACAGAGACACGAAGGAGAGGAGGCCGCGGGUCACUCUCCUCGAAGCUUUUGUCGUCACCGUGCAGAGCCGCCGCCACCGUCAUCAUCGCGGGCUGCUACUGCUGCGCGGGUGAUCGUCGCCGCCUUUGGGUCCAUCGCCACCGGGGAGAACCAUAGUUGUCGCCGAAGCUCCAGUCGUCGUCAGAAGCUGCUGCCGACGCCGAUCUGCAUGCGCCGUCACCGUUGAGAUCCUCCGCCGUCGUUGACGACCCAGCCGCCACCGAUCUGGUCCGAGAGAGAGGAGAUGUGAACAGAAGAGAAGGCGGGGAGCCACCGCCGCUGCUGCUGAGUCACCGAAGUUUCUGGACUGAGCUUCCGCCCCUUAAAAUCCGCUGCCGUCGCCGAAAAAAGCACUGCCGUUGUCGUCGUCGGAAUUCGUUGCCACCACCACCAUUAGAGGCGAACCCAGUUAUUUUCUCGCUGCCGGAGAGUUGUUUAUGCGUUUGAUUCCAUCAAAUUCGAAUCUAUUGUUGUUGUUGUGAGCGAAAUCGGAGUUGGUGAUGCUGCCAUCGUCCCUGUUGUGUUGGAAUCGCCACUGCUUCUGUGAGUUUAAACUAAGCGGGACUGUUGUGUUAAAUUAUGCGAUUGCGACAUCGAGGGUAGCGCAGCCGGAAACGUGACUUCUGAUAGUGAGGUGUUACAGUUUAAACCUAAUUUACCACGUUAACCUAAAUUACCAUACCCCCAAAUUGACUGAUGGUGGACCAUCUCUCCCAACCCCCCUUAUCCGCAUCCAGCGCCAAAUAGAAUCCUUUGUUGCCGUCUCCGCCGUCAAGAGAAAGUCAACGCCGGUAGACCACCAGACCACAACGUCGAGAGUACGGUCCGAUAGUUGCCGUGAAGCCGCUUGGUCUGUUGCAUGUGCUCAUCGGAGGUGCCUCGAAGAUGCAUCUGACUGUCCGGCCUUGUACAAGACGCAGCAACCCAGCAUGGACUCUCCACAAGCCGCGGCUGGAUUCAUAGGGCUAUGUGGGUUCGCUAGAAACUCCGUGGCUUUCUGGAUUCGCUCCUGCCACCAAGCGCCACUCGUUCACUGGCGGAUAAGCCCAAGUAGAAGCGUGUCUUCCCUUGGGCACCACUGCAACACUACGAGGUUAGUGGAUAUUUGAGAUCUAAAUUAGGUGCUUGUAUAGGUUUCUAAUUCUGAGUAUUAUAUUUUUGACCCUGCGCUUCCCAUGAGAGAUAAAGCCAUUAUACGCAACUAUAUUGCACCCACCAUAGGUGUUAUCGUUGACGUGGAUGCACAUUGAGCCAUAGCCAUAGCCUUCCAACACCAUAGGAUCAAGGUGAACAGCCCUCAAAGGUCACUGGUAACGUGAACAACCACUCUCAUUGACAAAUAGUUUUUAAAAUCCGUCGGAGUAAGGUGUACGUGUUUCCGUUGGAGGCGAGUGGACCAAAUUACGUUGAUGGAUCAAUCAAUUUGUGAAGAAGCAUCGUACGACACUACAUGUGAUAUGAGUGAUCAUCCUAAUUCCACCGACGUUAAUGUCCCAUCCCUGAGUGAAGAUGACACACAAC